rnacentral:lncRNA from 1 species
CAGCUCUCAGGGACACUGACUAGAGGGGAAAGUGUGCUUACUUCUGGGCUGACCUCCUUUCUGGCUCAAAUCCAAGAAAAAGAGGCACUUAGACCAGAUUGGAGCUUCUGUGAUAUGAGAGAAGGUAGAGGCCACCAAUAUCUAUACAACUCUAAAAGCUGUUUGCCAACUUCAGGGAUCUAGAAGAAGCUUUUUAAGAGGAGAUGGAAAGAUUAUCUGAUUUACUUGCGGAAGCUCAGCAAGAUUAUCGAUCGACCUUAUUCUAAUGAUUUUUUAUUCUCCAGCACACAUGAAAAAACAGCGGAUGCUAGAACAUCCUGGAUAGUCCCGUUUCCCCACACCUACCAGGAGAAUAGUAUCUACUCUUAAGGUCAAAUUGGUGGAGCAACCCUGAGCUUUAAGGAAACAUAAAGCUUAGAGAACAAUGUAAUAAUUUGGUAAAAAAAAUGUUGAAACUCAAAAUCAAUCUUCUGAAUGUCUAUUUUUGGAAUUCUGAAACUUGAAUGUUGGAAUAAAAUGUUUUAUGGACUUUGGCC